CGCUUGGUGAAAUCGGUAGACACG
rnacentral:tRNA from 1 species